rnacentral:rRNA from 1 species
UACGUAGGGGGCGAGCGUUGUCCGGAUUUAUUGGGCGUAAAGAGCUCGUAGGCGGUUUGGUAAGUUGGAUGUGAAAUCUCCAGGCUCAACUUGGAGGGGUCAUUCGAUACUGCCAUGACUAGAGUUCGGUAGGGGAGUGUGGAAUUCCAGGUGUAGCGGUGAAAUGCGUAGAUAUCUGGAGGAACACCGGUGGCGAAGGCGGCAUCCUGGACCGGUAUUGACGCUGAGGAGCGAAAGCCAGGGGAGCAAACGGG